GUGAGGGAGGAAGGCUCUUGGGUUGUAAACCUCUUUUCUCAGGGAAGAAAAAAAUGACGGUACCUGAGGAAUAAGCAUCGGCUAACUCCGUGCCAGCAGCCGCGGUAAUACGGAGGAUGCAAGCGUUAUCCGGAAUGAUUGGGCGUAAAGCGUCCGCAGGUGGCUAUGUAAGUCUGCUGUUAAAGAGUGAGGCUCAACCUCAUAAGAGCAGUGGAAACUACAUAGCUAGAGUGCGUUCGGGGCAGAGGGAAUUCCUGGUGUAGCGGUGAAAUGCGUAGAGAUCAGGAAGAACACCGGUGGCGAAAGCGCUCUGCUAGGCCGCAACUGACACUGAGGGACGAAAGCUUAGGGGAGCGAAUGGGAUUAGAUACCCCAGUAGUCCUAGCCGUAAACGAUGGAAUACUAGGCGUGGCUUGUAUCGACCCGAGGCCGUGCCGGAGUCUAACGCGUUAAGUAUCCCGCCUGGGGAGUACGCACGCAAGUGUGAAACUCAAAGGAAUUGACGGGGGCCCGCACAAGCGGUGGAGUAUGUGGUUUAAUUCGAUGCAACAGCGAAGAACCUUACCAAGACUUGACCAUGUCGCGAACCCUCUGGAAAGGGAGGGGUGCCUUCGGGAGCGCGAACAC
rnacentral:rRNA from 1 species